UGCAAGUCGAACGAUAUAGUGGCAGACGGGUGAGUAACGCGUGGGAACGUACCUUUCGCUAAGGAAUAGCUCCGGGAAACUGGUGGUAAUACCUUAUACGCCCUUAGGGGGAAAGAUUUAUCGGCGAAAGAUCGGCCCGCGUUGGAUUAGCUAGUUGGUGAGGUAAUGGCUCACAAAGGCGACGAUCCAUAGCUGGUCUGAGAGGAUGAUCAGCCACACUGGGACUGAGACACGGCCCAGACUCCUACGGGAGGCAGCAGUGGGGAAUCUUGCACAAUGGGCGAAAGCCUGAUGCAGCCAUGCCGCGUGAAUGAUGAAGGCCUUAGGGUUGUAAAAUUCUUUCGUCAGGGAUGAUAAUGACCGUACCUGAAGAAGAAGCCCCGGCUAACUUCGUGCCAGCAGCCGCGGUAAUACGAAGGGGGCUAGCGUUGUUCGGAAUUACUGGGCGUAAAGCGCACGUAGGCGGACUUUUAAGUCAGGUGUGAAAUCCCGGGGCUCAACCUCGGAACUGCAUUUGAAACUGGAAGUCUUGAGAUCAGGAGAGGUUAGCGGAAUACCGAGUGUAGAGGUGAAAUUCGUAGAUAUUCGGUGGAACACCAGUGGCGAAGGCGGCUAACUGGACUGAUACUGACGCUGAGGUGCGAAAGUGUGGGGAGCAAACAGGAUUAGAUACCCUGGUAGUCCACACCGUAAACGAUGAGAGCUAGUUGUUGGCAGGCAUGCCUGUCGGUGACGCAGUUAACACAUUAAGCUCUCCGCCUGGGGAGUACGGCCGCAAGGUUAAAACUCAAAGGAAUUGACGGGGACUCGCACAAGCGGUGGAACAUGUGGUUUAAUUCGAUGCUACGCGAAAAACCUUACCAGGCCUUGACAUGUUGGUUAUAUCGUGAAGAGAUUC
rnacentral:rRNA from 1 species